rnacentral:misc_RNA from 1 species
GAAGGUCCAAAUAGAUUCCAAAUUUCCCAAGAGUGUUUAGCAAUGAUUUAUUCAAAGAUGAAGGAUGAAAUGCAUGUACACGAGUCGACACAUAGCAGAGAUAAUAGCAUCAGGAAAAGGAAGAGAGGAUAUGGCAUGCUUUCAUACACAGAUUGGUGGAAGGGCGAAUCAGAAAUGAGCAAAAAGCUUUUAGUGAAGCAAAUAGUGGAGAAAGAUGUGGGCUUAAGUGUUAUGCCUCCUUCUUUUGAUAGUGGUUGCUUGUCAUAUGAAAGGAGAAAAGAGAAGAUAAAAGCUGCAAAGUAUCGAAUCCAUAAGACAAUGUAUCCUUCGGAUGCUAGUUCAAUUGAUACGAUUGAUGUAGGCUCCCUCGAACACGUAAAUGCUGGAAAGAGAAGGAAAAGGAAAAUGAA